rnacentral:rRNA from 1 species
CCUACGGUGGGCUGCAGUGGGGAAUAUUGCACAACGGGCGCAAGCCUGAUGCAGCCAUGCCGCGUGUGUGAAGAAGGCCUUCGGGUUGUAAAGCACUUUCAGCGGGGAGGAAGGCGGUGAGGUUAAUAACCUCAUCGAUUGACGUUACCCGCAGAAGAAGCACCGGCUAACUCCGUGCCAGCAGCCGCGGUAAUACGGAGGGUGCAAGCGUUAAUCGGAAUUACUGGGCGUAAAGCGCACGCAGGCGGUCUGUCAAGUCGGAUGUGAAAUCCCCGGGCUCAACCUGGGAACUGCAUUCGAAACUGGCAGGCUAGAGUCUUGUAGAGGGGGGUAGAAUUCCAGGUGUAGCGGUGAAAUGCGUAGAGAUCUGGAGGAAUACCGGUGGCGAAGGCGGCCCCCUGGACAAAGACUGACGCUCAGGUGCGAAAGCGUGGGGAGCAAACAGGAUUAGAUACCCUUGUAGUC